ACAUUUUUAUGCGGUGUUAGAGCACAUAGAGUUUUGAUUUCUACAGAGCAAAGUGGU
rnacentral:tRNA from 1 species